rnacentral:rRNA from 1 species
AGAGUUUGAUCCUGGCUCAGGACGAACGCUGGCGGCGCGCUUAAUACAUGCAAGUCGAGCGAGAACCGGACCUUCGGGUCCGGGGAAAGCGGCGAACGGGUGAGUAACACGUGGGUAAUCUGCCCUCGGUACUGGGAUAGCCCGGGGAAACCCGGAUUAAUAUCGGAUAGCCUUUCGAGCUCUCGGGCUCGUCAGAAAAGGAUGGCUUCGGCUUUCGGUUGAGGAUGAGCUUGCGGCGGAUUAGCUUGUUGGUGGGGUAACGGCUCACCAAGGCGACAAUCCGUAGCUGGUCUGAGAGGACGAUCAGCCACACUGGGACUGAGACACGGCCCAGACUCCUACGGGAGGCAGCAGUGGGGAAUCUUGCGCAAUGAGCGAAAGCUUGACGCAGCGACGCCGCGUGAGGGAAGAAGGCCUUCGGGUUGUAAACCUCUUUCAGGAGGGACGAAGCCGCUCGGGCUAAUACCCCAGAGGGUGACGGUACCUCCAGAAGAAGCCCCGGCUAACUACGUGCCAGCAGCCGCGGUAAUACGUAGGGGGCAAGCGUUGUCCGGAAUUAUUGGGCGUAAAGAGCGUGUAGGCGGCCAGGUAGGUCUGCUGUGAAAACUCGAGGCUCAACCUCGAGCUGUCGGUGGAAACCAUCUGGCUAGAGUCCGGAAGAGGAGAAUGGAAUUCCUGGUGUAGCGGUGAAAUGCGCAGAUAUCAGGAAGAACACCCGUGGCGAGGGCGGUUCUCUGGGACGGUACUGACGCUGAGACGCGAAAGCGUGGGGAGCAAACAGGAUUAGAUACCCCUGUAGUCC